rnacentral:rRNA from 1 species
UUUUAACUAAGAGUUUGAUCCUGGCUCAGGGUGAACGCUGGCGGCAUGUCUAAGGCAUGCAAGUCGAAUGCUUAGUUUACUAAGCAUGGCAAACGGGAGAGUAACACGUUGGUAAUCUACCUCUGUCUCAGGGAUAACCCGGAGAAAUCUGGAGUAAUACCUGAUAGGUAUGGGGGGACAUAAGUCAUUCCCAUAUAAAGAUCCGUCGGAUGGAGAGGAGCCUACGGCACAUCAGCUUGUUGGUAAGGUAACGGCUUACCAAGGCUACGACGUGUAGCGGGUGUGAGAGCAUGGCCCGUCUCACUGGAACUGAGAUACUGUCCAGACUCCUACGGGAGGCUGCAGUCGAGAAUCUUCCUCAAUGGACGAAAGUCUGAAGGAGCAAUGCCGCGUGAUCGAUGACGCUUUUCGGAGUGUAAAGAUCUUUUAUCAGGGACGAAUUCGUGACGGUACCUGAUGAAUAAGUCACUGCUAACUACGUGCCAGCAGCAGCGGUAAUACGUAGGUGGCGAGCGUUACCCGGAUUGAUUGGGCGUAAAGGGUCUGUAGGCGGUUUGAAUAGUCGUUGGUCAAAUCUUGAGGCUUAACUUCAAGACUGCCAACGAUACUCUCAAACUAGAGGCUGGGAGAGGCAAACGGAAGUGCCGGUGUAGUAGUAAAAUGCGUUGAUAUCGGCAGGAACACCAAAAGCGAAGGCAGUUUGCUAGAACAGUUCUGACGCUCAGGGACGAAAGCAUGGGGAGCGAAUGGGAUUAGAUACCCCAGUAGUCCAUGCUGUAAACGUUGGGUACUAAGCAUUAGGAGUAUCGACCCUCCUAGUGCUGUUUAAUUAAGCUAACGCCUUAAGUACCCCGCCUGGGAAGUACGGUCGCAAGACUAAAACUCAAAGGAAUUGACGGGAGCCCGCACAAGCGGUGGAGCAUGUGGUUUAAUUCGACGAUAAGCGGGGAACCUUACCAAGACUUGACAUAUAGCUGCAAAUUCUAGGAAACUAGAACCUCUUCGAGAGUGCUAUACAGGUGCUGCAUGGUUGUCGUCAGCUCGUGUCGUGAGAUGUUGGGUUAAGUCCCUUAACGAGCGCAACCCUUAUUCUAUGUUAAAUAUUCAUAGGAGACUGCCCCGGUUUAACGGGGAGGAAGGCGAGGAUGACGUCAAAUCAGCAUGGCUCUUACGUCUUGGGCCACACACGUGCUACAAUGGCCAAUACAAUGGGUCGCAAAACCGUAAGGUGAAGCCAAUCCCAUCAAAGUUGGUCUCAGUUCGGAUUGAGGUCUGCAACUCGACCUCAUGAAGUUGGAAUCGCUAGUAAACGCUGAUCAGCUACGCAGCGUUGAAUACGUUCUCGGGCUUUGUACACACCGCCCGUCACACCAAGAGAGUCGGUAGCACCCGAAGGCUGACAUUAGUUGGACGAAGGUGAAAUCGAUGAUAGGGGUGAAGUCGUAACAAGGCAUCCGUAGCGGAAGCUGUGGAUGGAUCACCUCCUUUCUAAGGAGUA